GACGAACGCUGGCGGCGUGCUUAACACAUGCAAGUCGAACGGAAAGGCCCUGCUUUUGUGGGGUGCUCGAGUGGCGAACGGGUGUGUAACACGUGAGUAACCUGCCCUUGACUUUGGGAUAACUUCAGGAAACUGGGGCUAAUACCGGAUAGGAGCUCCUGCUGCAUGGUGGGGGUUGGAAAGUUUCGGCGGUUGGGGAUGGACUCGCGGCUUAUCAGCUUGUUGGUGGGGUAGUGGCUUACCAAGGCUUUGACGGGUAGCCGGCCUGAGAGGGUGACCGGCCACAUUGGGACUGAGAUACGGCCCAGACUCCUACGGGAGGCAGCAGUGGGGAAUAUUGCACAAUGGGCGGAAGCCUGAUGCAGCAACGCCGCGUGCGGGAUGACGGCCUUCGGGUUGUAAACCGCUUUCGCUUGUGACGAAGCGUGAGUGACGGUAAUGGGUAAAGAAGCACCGGCUAACUACGUG
rnacentral:rRNA from 1 species